UCCGAAGGGGGCUACCGUUGUUCGGAAUUACUGGGCGUAAAGCGCACGCAGGCGGAUUUAUAAGUCAGGGGUGAAAUCACGGGGCUCAACCUCGGAAUUGCCCUUGAUACUGUCUAUCUUGAGUCCGGGAGAGGUGAGUGGAAUUCCUAGUGUAGAGGUGAAAUUCGUAGAUAUUAGGAAGAACACCAGUGGCGAAGGCGGCUCACUGGCCCGGUACUGACGCUCAUGUGCGAAAGCGUGGGGAGAAAACAGG
rnacentral:rRNA from 1 species